CACAACCUUUACUACCACCCAAAAGGUCUUGGAAGUGUUGUUUAUGAGAUACGGAUGCUUCCAUUCAGAGGCUGAGGAGGAUGGCGGAACCCGGGAGCAGGAGAAACUGGCCAUCUCCUCCAUCCUGGGCACCUGGCUGGAUCACUACCCCGAGGACUUUUUCCAGCCUCCAGACUUCACCAGCUUGAAGUUGCUUCAGGCAUA